CCAGGGAGUGUUCUACCCUUCACAAGCAAACUGCAGCUUAAAUUACAGUCUGACCUUUGGCUUGCUGGUGGGGCAACAUUUCCCUGACAUGGCCUUGUCAAACUGUCCUUUCUCUUUGCAAACCUCAAGAUAGGACGUAAUGUGCCAAGCAAGUUCUUCCAAAAAUCUUGCAGAGAACAAGCUGGCAACUUUUCCAGUAAUUUGUGGUUGUGAAAGAUGAAUAGUAGACAUUUCAGGAAAGGGAAGUGUCCUGGGGCAAUGCGUUAUAUAGAUAUUCACUUCUGGACUGGAAAUCUCAUUCUUGAGAUUUCACUGACCAGCAACACUCCAGUGAAACUGCAGUCAAAAUUUAUGGAGUCUGCAGUAAAUAUGAAGCUAAAGUAACAGGCAAUGAAGAGCUCACCUGCUGCCUCCAGGGCUGCUUAACAUGCUGCAACCAGGCUGAAUGGUGCAUAUUGGACUGGAACCUGGAUCCUUGAGUAAAUGAAAGGAGAAAAGCCCCUAUCCAGUAUAUCAGAUUUGUGUAAACCAAAAAAUAAACUUUCAAUAUGCACUCUCCAGGAAAAGCUGCCUGCUAGAUAACAUGAAGACACGCCAGCAGCCUCAUGGGGGUGGAGGGAAGAGAGGCCUCAUGGUGAGGGACUGAGGCCUCCUACUAAAAGCCAGCACUAACUUGUCAGGCAUGAAAGUGAGCCACCUGGAAGCACAUCUUCAGCCCCUGUGGACCCUUUAGAUGACUGCAGGCCCUGCUGACAUCUUGACUGAAACCUCAUGAGACAGCUAGAACCAGAAUCGCCCAGACUUCAAGGUACUUAUGAAGAGGGACUAUGUCUGAGUUUAUGCAUUAUUAUGUUCCUAACACCUGGGAGAAGGUCUGGUACCCAGUUGACUCUUGGUAAGUAUUUGUUGAAUAAAUGAAUGAAUGAAUGAAUAAGUGUUUAAUAAAUAUUUGUUGAAUAAAUGAACAAAUAAGUCCUGAUAAAGAAGUGAAACUGCUGAGUUUAAUUAUUAGUUUCAUUGUUCAGGUGAAACAUUGAGAUGGAGCUGUCACUCCUCUCUACCCCAAGUGAAAGAUGCUGGGGGAAGCAGAAUCAUACUUCAGAAAAAGCCAAUAAUACCAUGUUCUUUAUCAGCCAUUUCUACCUGGAGGAAGAGCAUGCCUGGUCGCUGGAGAAUAAAGUCCUGGAACCAGGCCUGAGUGAAGAGUG
rnacentral:lncRNA from 1 species